UGGGGAAUAUUGGGCAAUGGACGCAAGUCUGACCCAGCAACGCCGCGUGAAGGAAGAAGGCUUUCGGGUUGUAAACUUCUUUGACAGGGGAAGAGUAGAAGACGGUACCCUGAAAACAAGCCACGGCUAACUACGUGCCAGCAGCCGCGGUAAUACGUAGGUGGCAAGCGUUGUCCGGAUUUACUGGGUGUAAAGGGCGUGCAGCCGGGCUGACAAGUCAGAUGUGAAAACCAGGGGCUCAACCUCUGGACUGCAUUUGAAACUGUUGGUCUUGAGUAUCGGAGAGGUAACCGGAAUUCCUAGUGUAGCGGUGAAAUGCGUAGAUAUUAGGAAGAACAUCAGUGGCGAAGGCGGGUUACUGGACGACAACUGACGGUGAGGCGCGAAAGCGUGGGGAGCA
rnacentral:rRNA from 1 species